AUUGAACGCUGGCGGCAUGCCUUACACAUGCAAGUCGAACGGUAACGGGCCUUCGGGUGCCGACGAGUGGCGAACGGGUGCGUAAUACAUCGGAACGUGCCCGAUCGUGGGGGAUAACGAGGCGAAAGCUUUGCUAAUACCGCAUACGAUCUACGGAUGAAAGCAGGGGACCGCAAGGCCUUGCGCGGACGGAGCGGCCGAUGGCAGAUUAGGUAGUUGGUGGGAUAAAAGCUUACCAAGCCGACGAUCUGUAGCUGGUCCGAGAGGAUGAUCAGCCACACUGGGACUGAGACACGGCCCAGACUCCUACGGGAGGCAGCAGUGGGGAAUUUUGGACAAUGGGCGCAAGCCUGAUCCAGCCAUGCCGCGUGCAGGAUGAAGGCCUUCGGGUUGUAAACUGCUUUUGUACGGAACGAAAAGCCUUCUUUUAAUACAGGAGGGUCAUGACGGUACCGUAAGAAUAAGCACCGGCUAACUACGUG
rnacentral:rRNA from 1 species